rnacentral:RNase_P_RNA from 1 species
GUGGGAGGAAGCUCAUUGUAGAGGUCACAUGCUGAGUGCUCGUCACUCGUCCAAUCACCUCGGGGAAGGUCUGAGACAAGAGCCAAUCGCUGCCCUUGCAGGGCAUCACCUGAUUCGGGUGAGCGAGUGAACAGAAAUCCUGGGCUAAUGCUUGCACUUCUCACAGGAGAAGCCAGAUGACGCGCCUUGAGCGGCUCUGGUGGAUGUGGUGCGAGCUGGUUUGGAAUCGCUCGCGGCUGGCGAAUGAGUCCGAUGUAUGAGGUGGGGCACUGCUCCAGAACCCAAUUCAGACUACUCUCCACCCAC